CCCUUAGAUGUUCUGGGCCGCACGCGCGCUACACUGAUGCAUUCAACGAGUCUAAAACCUGCUCUGAUAGGGGUGGGUAAUCUUUUGAAUGUGUAUCGUGAUUGGGAUAGAUGAUUGCAAUUUUUCAUCUUCAACGAGGAAUGCCUAGUAAACGCAAGUCAUCAGCUUGCAUUGAUUACGUCCCUGCCCUUUGUACACACCGCCCGUCGCUCCUACCGAUUGAAUGAUCCGAUGAAUAUCAUGGAUUGAGGAUGCAAGUAGGUUAGCCUAUCUUCAUCUUCGAGAAGUGAAGUAAAUCUUAUCAUUUAGAGGAAGGAGAAGUCGUAACA
rnacentral:rRNA from 1 species